ACACUUACUGGCAGGGGAGAUACCAUGAUCAUGAAGGUGGUUUUCCCAGCAUGAGGCUCAUCCAUUGCACUCCAGAUGUGCUGACCCCUGGAAUUUCCGUAAAUGUGGGAAAUUCAACUGCAUAAUUUGUGGUAGUGGGGGACUGUGUUUGCGCUUUCCCCUG